AUGUAAUCGUACAUAUUUCAUUGAACGAGCGCGAUACAGAGAAAAUUAGCAUGAUCCAGUGCAAAAAUGACAUGCGUAAAUCGAAAAAUGGUGUUUUUUUUU